GAAAAAUUUAGUUAAAUCAUAACAUUAGUUUGUCAAACUAAAAUUAUCUUAAAAUAAUUUUU
rnacentral:tRNA from 1 species